UACGUAGGGGCCGAGCGUUGUCCGGAGUUACUGGGCGUAAAGCGCGCGCAGGCGGCUCGGUAAGCUCGGCGUGAAAGCCCCCGGCUCAACCGGGGAGGGUCGUCGGGGACUGCCGGGCUUGAGGGCGGUAGGGGCUGGUGGAAUUCCCGGUGUAGUGGUGAAAUGCGUAGAGAUCGGGAGGAACACCCGUGGCGAAGGCGGCCAGCUGGGCCGACCCUGACGCUGAGGCGCGAAGGCGUGGGGAGCGAACGGG
rnacentral:rRNA from 1 species